CUCCAGUUAUCUAUCAGCGUCGCGAUCAGUUUAUAUGCAAUUGCCUCUGUGAGACAAUCUUAUUACAAAAUGUUGAGAAUUGCAUUACUCUUGAUUAUAGUUCAGUCUGUAAUAUUAGUGGCUUCCGGACCUUACAAUGGCCUCCACAUACCGUCAGAAUGUACAGAUAAUCCUUUCUUUGCUGAUUGUUCACUGGUUGUGCGGAGUAAAUUCUGCAACCACAAUUUCUACUCGCAGUUUUGUUGCAAAUCCUGCAUCGAGUCUGGACAGGUGGACCCUAUGAGAACUUUGAACCACCUUGAAGGUGAAUAUUGGAACUAGAUUUUCUCGCAUGUUGAUGCAACAUAUUUGCAAGUCGUCUAUACUCCUAAUAACUUCACUUGGCUUCAAAUACUUAUUGGUUAUGCGUUAUAAUAAAAUCUAUGAAUAAUUUAA